rnacentral:rRNA from 1 species
GAUGAACGCUGGCGGCGUGCCUAAUACAUGCAAGUCGAGCGAACAGAUGAGGAGCUUGCUCCUCUGACGUUAGCGGCGGACGGGUGAGUAACACGUGGAUAACCUACCUAUAAGACUGGGAUAACUUCGGGAAACCGGAGCUAAUACCGGAUAAUAUAUUGAACCGCAUGGUUCAAUAGUGAAAGACGGUUGUGCUGUCACUUAUAGAUUGAUCCGCGCCGCAUUAGCUAGUUGGUAAGGUAACGGCUUACCAAGGCAACGAUGGGUAGCCGACCUGAAAGGGUGGUCGGCCACCCUGGAACUGAGACACGGUCCAGACUCCUACGGGAGGCAGCAGUAGGGAAUCUUCCGCAAUGGGCGAAAGCCUGACGGAGCAACGCCGCGUGAGUGAUGAAGGUCUUCGGAUCGUAAAACUCUGUUAUUAGGGAAGAACAAAUGUGUAAGUAACUAUGCACGUCUUGACGGUACCUAAUCAGAAAGCCACGGCUAACUACGUG